UCUUCUGGUGCUACCAAAGAGUCAGGCUGAGUCUGUGACACAAAGUGCAUUCAGAAUUUUAAAAAGGAAACAACACAGACUCAAAUCCUUAUUCUUCCAGAAACUGUAAGCUCCCAGUAUAGGAAACUUCUUGCUGUGUCUUUGACUGGAACCAGAAUGAGAAAACUCUGUUCACCUUCAACUUUCUAUGCACUCUAUUGGAAUGACACUAAAUGUGUUAUUACUGGCCAGCAUCCAGCAAAGAAGACACCCUCAGCUUCAGAAGACCUUGAAUCAUAGUGAAAAAUACAGCUGCAGACCAACUAGUGUUCUUUGGGUGAUAUUACCUUUCUAUAAAAGAAUUCCACCCCCAUCAAGAAUUUUCCUGUAAACCAAUGGAUUACCAUCCUAGACAUAAAUUUCUCCUGAGAUCAAAUACUAUGUGCUUAUUAUCUGCAUACAAGAAAGAGGUAGUAUCUGCUUGAAACUUGUCCAUCUUUCUUAAUUGUACUAGCUGGUCUAAUGAUUCUUGCAGAAAAGAAUAUUUUCUUUUGUAUGGGUCUCUGGGGCAUUAUUCUUACUAAUUGAUGAACUACAAAAAGGGGUUAUAAGACCCACCCUAUCAAAAAGACUCCCCAUCAUGAUUGUCUGUAAGUUAAUUACCUUCCCUGUGCUUCAUCUGGAAAUGUGAUGCCAAAGGAUGAGUCCAUGGAAACUACUGACAUAUCUGGAAGAGACAGUGGUAACAUGAGGAGUUACCUGAGAAGUCAGCUGGCUUGUGAGGUCCUGUGUCAACACACAGGUAGCUAGUAAAGACUGUCUGCUUAGGACAAAUGCCAACAGAGCUGCAGCAUCCCAAAAGGAUUUAAGACCCCAGCGUGUACCCCAGCACAGUGCUCCAAUAAGUGUACUGUGAUAGGUCUCUAUCAAUGAGCAAAAAAGAACUAGUCCACAUAUACCCAUGAUUCGUUCAAAUAAGAUGGCAAUACUGGCUCCUAUAACCUAUGACAUCUCCACCCUAGCAGGCAAGACCCUGUACUUUGGCCCCUAAUAGGAACUUCAUGUACUUAUUAAACUAAAAUAAA